rnacentral:miRNA from 1 species
UCUCUCUCUCUCUCUCUCUCUCUCUCUCUCUCUCUCUCUUAUAUAUAUAUAUAUAUGAGAGAGAGAGAGAGAGAGAGAGAGAGAGAGAGAGAGAGA